CCACAUUUGUCUUUGAAGGCCAGGUUCUUCAACUCCAGAAGGGUUUCAAGCAGGACUGGUGGAGUAGCUCCGGUAACACCUCACUUCCAUCAGACCCAGGAUCUACUAGCUCCUAACCAAAGGAGGGUUCUGCAGUGAGUCCCGUGUCUCGGAGCUGGUCGGGGGCAGGAAUGGGAGUGCGAGUCUGUCCUGUCGGCUCUGAUACAGGAAGGAACCCCAUAGGACCAACCUCAGCAGUGCAUAGCUCAGGGAACAUGGUCAGACCACUCACGCUGCAGAGUGCUGCUGGAGGGAAUGUAUGUAGGAGGACCACCUCGACGCUCUCAUAGCCGGGGAGCCGAGACGAGGGAAGACACCCAAAGAACGGACUAGGUCGCGACGGACCACUCGCCCGCCGUUAAUAUGAGGGAACUGAGGCACAGAGAAGUUAAGUGACUUG